rnacentral:rRNA from 1 species
GUGUCAGCAGCCGCGGUAACACCGGCGGCUCGAGUGGUAACCGCUAUUAUUUGGUCUAAAGGGUCUGUAGCCGGCUUAGUCAGUCUUUUGAGAAAUCUGGCCGCUCAACGGUCAGGCGUUCAGGGGAUACUGCUAAAGCUCGAGACCGGGAGAGGUGAGAGGUACUUCAGGGGUAGGGGUGAAAUCUUGUAAUCCUUGAAGGACCACCAGUGGCGAAGGCGUCUCACCAGAACGGAUCUGACGGCAAGGGACGAAAGCUAGGGGCACGAACCGGAUUAGAUACCCGGGUAGUCCUAGCCGUAAACGAUACUCGCUAGGUGUCGGCCACGGUGCGACCGUGGUCGGUGCCGUAGGGAAGCCGUGAAGCGAGCCACCUGGGAAGUACGGCCGCAAGGCUGAA